AUGUCGCCUGCUGUGCAAGGGUUCCCACAGCCUUCAACCUUGAGAAUAAGGAUGGUCCAGGCUGGGGUGCUACAGCGUCCCAGCACCAGUGCCUUUGCACAGCACCUGGCUGCUGCAAGUCCAGUCCCAUUUAGACUGCAGAGUGAGAUGUGCAGAACUGACUUAUCUGCUAAAUCCUGCAAUCAAAUAAGACUAAACAGAAAUGCCCUCUUGCUGGAGCAAAAUAUCAAGUUCACAGAAGGCUAUUUGGGGAAAGAAAAAAUCAAGAGCCGCAUUGCUGGUGGCCUCCUCGAAGAGGAGAAAGCCGAGCCAUUCUGCUGCAGCCGUCGCACACUUUGUGUGUCUGGAGUUGUCUGAUUAAACUUGCCUUUCUAGUUAGAGAAAUCUGCCUUACUGUCCGUUGAUAACUUCCUUUGAGAAUUGUUACUGUAAUUAACUCACAGUCCAAGGACUGGAGUAAAAUGCUUGGAUUUUAAACAGGGGAGAAAAUGACCAUAUUUUACCAAAAAUCUAAAGUAGUCAAUAAAAUGGUAAGUGGUGCAAGAAGGGCUUCCACGGGACUCUCGGACAGGUGCAAGAAACCGGGUAUGGCUUUAAUUGGCUCUUUAAUGAUUCCCUAUUUCCGUCUUCUGCCUUUUUUAUUUUUUAUUUUUUUCCUGAGGGGGGGAAAAACCCCUUAAAACAGAAAGGUUAAUCUAACUGUACAUUUUAAGCUUUUAAAGGCUCCAUUACAAGACUGAUUAUGCGAAAGAAACAUACCUGGCACACUGCAGCUUCUAGAUGCCUGUAAUGAUUCACUUAAAACACCGUGGUCAGGAUUCUCUCACAUUAUUUCUAUGUAAAUUGGAUGCCUCACAAUUACUAUAAUAUGUGUGAAAUUUCACUUAUUAUUUCUUUUAACAUAGAAACUUUUAUCACUUAGCUCACUGGACAGAAUAUUUGAGCCAUUUGCAAUCAUUAGAGCAUUUUUGUUUGGUCAAACCCUUAUGGGAUUAUACUUCGGAAAAGACAGAGUGAAUUAUAUUCAUUGCAAGAAAACAGCAAUUUUAAAUAUAUAAGGGGCACCAGGAAACUUUUCAUUUUAGUACAAAUUCAAUCUUAUAUCUUACUUCUUUUUACAGCGGGGUAAGCCUUUUAUCUUUAAGCAAUUUAUAAAACCCAGCAGGUAAUGGGAGUGAGUCAUGCAGGGAGAGAUGAGUCUGAUAGAUAAAUACACACUUUGGAGACAGACGGGAGAUGUGAUAUCCUUGGAUUUAAGGUAAUAGCUUUGUACUUUGGAAGUUUUUCCUUGUGAUCUCGGUGGAGGUCACAGAUUGUUUACUCACGUCUCCCGAGAUCGGUGUGGAGCGUUUAUCCAAACUCUCCACCCCCGGCCCCCCAGCACCCUCCUUCCACAGUUGGGCAGAGGCCUGGCCUGGCCUGCGAGCGAGCUAGAGUGAUGUGCCCUCCCUCGGAAAAUGAACGCUCAGCCCACCUCUGCUGGGCCAGCUGGCUGCUCACGGGCCCUCACUUUGAAGAACAUAGAAUUGUUUCACAUAGAUUUGAGGAAGAAAAACAAAAUCAGGAAAGAGAAGAGGUAUUCCUAUCUAUUAAGCUGAUUUCUUUUUGCAUUGGGGGGCCCUGUUUGUGAAUCUAACACAUGAGAAAAACACGACUCGGCAUCUUUGGAAGAACAUUUUCUGCCUUAGUCAUUUGGGAUGCUUUUCUUAUGGCAGAAACAAAACAAAACGAAACAAAACAACCAGCAACUAAAUGGAACUCUGCACAGAUACACCCUGCAUGUUAAGACAAAGUAUAGGUAUGUUUGUUUUUAAUAAGUGAUUGAGGAAAUUAAAUUUAGACCUUGAUUAAUGUCUAGCUAUAUAAACACUUCAAAAUUAUUGAGGCAGGUUUAUUUUAUUUUUCAUGUUUUUUGUGUUAUUUUAAAAUGAGAUGAUAUCUGAGGGACAUAAGAUAUUUAUUUCCCAAAUUUUAUUCUCCAAACUUUUAACUUCUAAAGACAAGUUGAAAACUUUCAAUUCUUUUGAGAGCACUUCCAUAUGGAAUAAGAAUUAUUAUUUUUACUUGGAUUUUGAUUAUCUUUUUUUAGCUGUAUUCCUCAAAAAGAAGAUAUUUACAUUCCCCCAGAAAUCAAAUACAAAAGUUAAAAUUUCUCUAUUUAUGUAGUGUUACUUCACAUUUUGUUAGUAAUCUUUUUAGACAUAUAUAGGCAAUUGAAAUAUGCCACAUAAUAUAUGUAAACCCAGAGCUGCAUAUUUGUCUAUAUUUGCAUAUGUGAGAGAGAGAGACAGAGAGAGGGGGGAGGAGAGAGAGAGAUUCAGAAAAGAAUAGUUAGUAAUAUUGUGCUUUUUUAAAUCUGGAAGUUAACUUGCAUAGACAUGAUUGGAAUGAUAUUAAUGCUAUAAUAUGAAUAGUCAAACAUAUAAUGGGUCCAACUUUGUCCUAAAGGUAGAUGUCUAUUUGUAAAUAAAAGAUGGAGCCUGAAAUUCAAGGUUAUGCCAUGCUCGAGGGAAGAACAGUAGAGAAAGGAAGGCAGGCAGGCAGUCCAGGGGGGCCGCACCCUACCUCAGCACAGGGGAGGGAAGAGAGCGUUGGCAAAGCCUGCAGUUCCCCUAGCCAGAUGGCAGCCACAAGCUGCAGGUACCAUGCACACGGGCAAUUUAGGUCAUAGGACUGCAGGUCUUGUAGCCUCAGGAAUGAAGGACACGCACACACACGCAUACACAGAUAGCAUAAUUCCUGCAGAUGCCUGGGAGAAAGGCAGCUACCAAGUACCGGAUAAAGUACACUCAAUACAUAGUAGGCGAAAUAAAAUGUAUAAACAUUGCAUAUUCGUUCUUCCUUUGCUCUUCGGUAGAAAUGAAUGCAUUGGAGACACAGACUGUCUGCAGACUUCCAAAUAGGAGGAGACACCCUAAGAGAAUUCCAGAAAGAAACCUGAGGGACGGACGCUGCCUACCCCCUUUGGGCUGAAUUAUUAGAGCAGACUAUUUUAUACAUUUUAAACUGAUAAUGUAUUCAUAGCUAAAGCAGAGGAAAACCCGGUGCAUUUUUUUAUUCCUUUUUUUUUUUUUUUUGGCCUGCAUAUUUUCAAAGACCUCCUAUAGUUAACAUUAUAAUAUAGUUAGUUGCUACAAAUAAUCGGGGGUGAUUAUAGGAAAACUGUCAGUGUCUGCUCACGGUCUGAAAAGGCUGCAGCAAAUAGCUUUUCUCUUUGCCAUGGAGACUGGGGCCUGUUUUUACGGUUACUCUGGAAACCGGAGGCUUUCUGUUGUUCGUCCUUUUCAGUUACUUCAGCUAUUAAACCCUCCGGUUGAGACAAAAGGAAGGAGGUAUGCAGACACUUCCUCGGAGAGAAAAUCUCCGGCCCUAAGAAGAGCAGAACUCAGGAUGAGAGAGAAAAGCGCUGUCUGUGGGUCUGGUGUUUUUCUCGGGGAGGUGGCUGUCCUGCACUCCAGGGGAAGCUGCCUUUGAACCUCAGAAUCUGGAACCAGGUUAGGGCGGUGCUGCUCCCUCCCUCCUCCUCGGUCCUUCCCUCCCCAAAAGAUGAAACGUGCGCCCCGCUGUUGCUGACAUGCCCAGAAGUGGAGCCUCACGCGGCACCCAAGACCUCACCACUCCCAGCAUCCAGAGUUCCUUCUGGCUGCACAGAUACAAGCCCAGCACCUUUCAACACAAAUGCAGGGCUCAGCUGACUCGAGAGCACAGGUUUCGAAUCCCUGAAAACAAUGCGAUGUUUUUACAAUACACAUUCGCACGUGGAGAGACUGUGUGCACUUUGUUUUGGUUUGUUUUAAGAAAUUGGAGCCAAAAAUCAUUAAUAUCCCCAUUAUAUUAAUGGAUCCAAUAAUAACCUAAAAAGAUGAAAGACAUUGAGUUGUCAGAUAUUUUACAGAAAAGUGGAAAAAGUAAUUUGGAAUAUGAAGUUAUAAACAGAAUCUUGGGUUAUGGGCAAGCUAAAUGGGUUCCUCUCUCUCUCUCUCUCUCUUUUUUUUUUGUUUCUUUUUCUUCCAAAUAAGAAUGCUUUUUCACCUUAGGUAAUUGUUUAUUGUUGCCAUCAAUUAUGUGCGUCUUGCCUUUUGGUUAAAGUGUUCUCUCAAGGGAAAGGAAUUCUCCCUGGAAGAAACAGCUCACAAACUAGUCUCCAAAUAAUACCUUUCCCAAAAGAGUGGUCCAUCCUAGCCUUGCCGUGGUCACACUGAGUAAUGCUAAACACCACACAGGCCCCGUGGCGACAAACUAAACUAGUCUCAGUCAGCAAAGUAUUCAGUUAUCUUCCAUUUGAACAGUUAAAUGCAUCACACAAAAAUCCCCACCACUGUUUUCCCUCCAUCUGCCCAGUACCAAGGGUCCGUCCUGUCAGCAGAGUUACAACUAACACACUUGGUCUUAAAAGGAGCAGGCAAAUGAAUAACACUUGAUAUUUGUUAACGAGAAGCAGCAUUAAGAAAAAGAUGGGGAGAAAGAACUCUUUUUCGUCUACUCACUGCUGUGCAGAGGU
ensembl:lncRNA